rnacentral:tRNA from 1 species
GCGGAUAUAGUUUAAUGGUAAAACUUUAGCCUUCCAAGCUAAUAAUACAAGUUCGAUUCUUGCUAUUCGCU